GAUGAACGCUGGCGGCGUGCCUAAUACAUGCAAGUCGAGCGAACAGACGAGGACUUUGCUCCUCUGACGUUAGCGGGGGACGGGUGAUUAACACGGGGAUAACCUACCUAAAAGACUGGGAUAACUUCGGGAAACCGGGGCUAAUACCGGAAAAUAUAUUGACCCGCAUGGUUCAAUAGUAAAAGACGGUUUUGCUUUCACUUUUAGAUGGAUCCGCGCCCCAUUAGUUAGUUGGUAAGGUAACGGCUUACCAAGGAAACGAUGCGUAGCCGACCUGAGAGGGUCGCCGCCCAGCUGGGAACGGAGGCAGGGCCGACACUCCUGGGGGGGGAAACAGACGGGAAUCUUCCGGAAAGGGGAAGGGCGGAAUGGAGCAACGCGGGGGGAGGAAUGAGGGUUUUAGGAUCGAAAAGCUAUGUAAUUAGGAAGGAAAAAAAGUUUAUUUACCCGGGAGGGUCUUGACGGUACCGAAUGAAAAAGCCACGGCUAACUCCGUG
rnacentral:rRNA from 1 species